rnacentral:lncRNA from 1 species
AAUGAGAAUCGGAAAGGGCCUCAUCGGAGGCAUUUUUCGAAACACCCCACGACAACACCGCCGAGCUUUGACGGUAUUUUUCAGCCAAUGGGCUGGUUCUUUCACUCUGAUUUGGCCAUGGGUGGGUUUAAAAUUGAAUUUUGUGCAAGAUGGAAAAUUUUUACCUCAUUUGGCGAUCGAAAAUUGCUCCAGUAUGGCAACGGGUGGUG